AGCUUUUUAUUCUCAAUAGCAAUUUCAAAAGCAAUUUAAUUAAAAACUUGAACUUAUUUACUGCAGGCAUGUUACAUGGAAUUGGAAAAUUUAUAGUGGAAAUAAUUUGCUGUCGUUUCAGACUUGGAUCCUACAAGCCCGUCCAUUCUGUCCCCUUUGCGGAUGGCCACACAGACAACCACUUACCUCUUCUAGAGAACAACACACAUUAGCACCUCGUGGGUGGAGAAAAACUUUUUGCCUGAGACAUAAAGCCUUUUCUAAUAAUAAAAUGUUGUGCAAUAUAUUCAAAGAAAAAGAAAAUAUGAGAACCCGGAAACUUACUUAUUUAAAAAAA
rnacentral:lncRNA from 1 species